GUCCACGCUGUAAACGAUGGGCGCUAGGUGUUGGGGGUUUUUAAUCCCUCCGUGCCGCAGCUAACGCAUUAAGCGCCCCGCCUGGGGAGUACGGCCGCAAGGUUAAAACUCAAAGGAAUUGACGGGGGCCCGCACAAGCGGUGGAGCAUGUGGUUUAAUUCGACGCAACGCGAAGAACCUUACCUGGGCUUGACAUGUGGGGAAUCUUACGGAAACGUGGGAGUGCGUAGCAAUACGAACCCCAGCACAGGUGCUGCAUGGCUGUCGU
rnacentral:rRNA from 1 species